UUGGUUGCCAGGGUAUAUUUUAAGACAGGGUCAGUUAAAGGCCACUGACCAUUUCAAUUAAAAUGUUUUCAAGGAUUUCUAAAUAAUAAACUGAUCUUGCCUAUAAUUAUAGGUGAAAUAAUAAUUAAAAAACCCCUCAUAAUCCUGUGUGUAAUGUUAUGGCACGCUGUUGGUGUCCACGGACCAAGACAAAUACCUCCGUGAGACAGGGAGCUGUGGAGACAAUUAAAGCAUAAAUCCCAAGCACCCAUUAACACCCAGGCUCUAUUAGGCUGACUCUGUCUUUGGUCACAUUAAAGCCCCAUAGCAUUUGCUAGUGGCUUGAAGGGAAUGGUGUUGGUCCUUCUUAAAUGAAGAUGUAAUUCCACUCUGUAAAUCUCUGCUGUAAUUGGUUAAUAAGCAUACACUUUGGCAAAGGAACCACUGGGAAUGAUUGGUGGGAGAAAGUCCCCCUCUUAAUUCUCACUUGCCACAGUUCUUCUCGCUUAGGGGUUGUUCUCCUUUGCACAUCUCCUGGGCUUUCGGAGUGUGGGGACCUGGAAACUCCAAGUACAUUGGUUCCUACUCAGAGGCCACUCAUGACGCAGAAUGGUGGCAUCAUUUCAUCUGUCUCAACCUCAGCACUGUAGGCAUUGGGUUGGACAAUUCCUCCUUGCAUGGAACUGUCCCAUGCGUUCUGGGGUGUUGAGCAGGGCCUGGGCGACUAGAGGCCAGUAGUGAUCCCUUACCCUGUUGUGACAACACGAAGUGUUUGCAGAUGUUGCCAAAUGUCCCUUGGGGGCACCAUCUCCGCAUCCCCCCCACACUGCAGUUAAGAACCACUGGUCUAGUCAGAUGCUCCCAUGUGCCGCAGUCUUAGCACCCUACAAUGGUGACUCACGAUAAUGCAGUUCCUCUUCUUGGCUUGAUUCUCUUCUGCCCUGGUUUCUAUCACCUUUUCCCCCUUUGGACUGUCCUCCCCUUCAUGUUCUGCUCCUGCCUCUCUCUGCACAGCUUGUGGCUUCUGGGGUGUGACCUGUAGUCAUGACUAAAGGCUCCUGAGCCUGAGCCAGUCUGAGGCUCUUCCUGCCAGGAGUCCCCUGUGACAGGCUGCCUACAGAGCUCAACCCUUGCCUCUGGUCCCCCUGGACAAAGUCUAGCCUCCACCACCCCUGAAGGCAGCUUCGCAACUGCAAACCAGUCUCUCCCAGAAUACGAGCUGCCCCUGGCUGGAAGAGAGGUCACGAUGGAACCUUUAUGCUUCUUUCCAGGCUCUUGGAGAAAGCUUACUUGGCUGCAAACUCUACCAGAUCAACUACAUGGACCAACUUUUGUUUCGGAACAUAAAUACCAGCUCAACCAUUCGUCAUUUCGCCUGACCUUUCUGAGUACAUCAACUUGUCUCUGAUCUAUAGCAAACCUAACCGCUUUGUUUUAAGAGAAAUUCCAAGAAGGGAAUCCCCAGAUCAGCUUUAGCCUGAAGAGGAGCUCUAGCAGGACAAGGACUUUGCCAUAUUUGAACUGUAUCCCCUACACUUCUUGGCACACAGAAGGCGCUGGAUAAAGGGCUGUGGAAAGGAGGUAGCAAGGACUCUGCUUCUCCUUAAGUUGCUCACAUGGACCUGUCAGGAGCCAUUCCAGAUCGGCUGCGGGAAACAUCCUGAACGAACGUGAGACUCAGUGUUUCUCCCUCCCAGGAGGGGUGAGGACAGCACAGCGGAUGCUUCUUUAGAGAGAAACCAGUUCCCCUCAACCCCAUUCCACAGUCACACACAGCACAGAAUAACAAUUCCAGGGGAGGACUCACAUUUGUGGGACCCCUACUAUGGACCACAUACUACAGCACGAGAUUUAUGUGUUACGAUGUCAAUGCAGGAUGGGUGUUUUUUGCAGAUGAAGCAUCUGAGGUUUGAGAGUUGAGCUCCUUAGCUAAGGCCAUACAACCAGUAAGUAUCAGAACUGGAAUCUGAACCUAGCUCUUCAACAUUGUAAAACUCAUGUUCUAAUACAGCCUUUGGCUCCAUCCAAAAUAGUCCUCUGGGCUCUGUGCCUAAAGCAAUAGAAAAUGUAGACCAAGGACAUCAGACUUGGGACAGAAAUAUUCUGGGACAUUUUUGCGGCUAAAUGCUCUGGACCUCAGGAGAAAGCCUUCAGACGAAAUCUGUGAGGACAAG